AUGGCUCAGGAUUAACGCUGGCGGCGUGCCUAAUACAUGCAAGUCGAAUGGUAUCAAUACCAUGGCGAACGGGUGAGUAACACGUAGGUAACCUGUCUUUAAGACGAGGAUAACCGUUGGAAACGACGGAUAAUACUCGAUAGGUGAUUUGAGGGCAUCCUUGGAUCAUUAAAGAUUUAUCACUUAGAGAGGGGCCUGCGGCGCAUUAGCUAGAUGGCGGUGUAAUGGACCACCAUGGCGAUGAUGCGUAGCCGGACUGAGAGGUUGAACGGCCACAAUGGAACUGAGAACGGUCCAUACUCCUACGGGAGGCAGCAGUAGGGAAUUUUCGGCAAUGGGCGAAAGCCUGACCGAAGCAACGCCGCGUGAACGAAGAAGUAUUUCGGUAUGUAAAGUUCUUUUAUCGGGGAAGAAAAAUAUUCAAAUUGACGGUACCUGAUGAAUAAGCUCCGGCUAACUACGUGCCAGCCGCUGC
rnacentral:rRNA from 1 species